rnacentral:rRNA from 1 species
CGCGCAGGCGGUGAUGUAAGUCUGAGGUGAAAUCCCAGAGCUCAACUCUGGAACUGCCUUUGAUACUGGGUAUCUUGAGUAUGGAAGAGGUAAGUGGAAUUCCGAGUGUAGAGGUGAAAUUCGUAGAUAUUCGGAGGAACACCAGUGGCGAAGGCGGCUUACUGGUCCAUUACUGACGCUGAGGUGCGAAAGCGUGGGGAGCAAACG